rnacentral:rRNA from 1 species
AAUGAACGUUGGCGGCGUGGAUUAGGCAUGCAAGUCGAGCGAGAACCCAGCAAUGGGGGACAGCGGCGCAAGGGACAGUAAUGUGUAGAUUAUCUGCCCUCGGGUCCGGGAUAGCUGCGGGAAACUGCAGGUAAUACCGGAUAACAUCUCCGGAUCAAAGGUGUGAUUCCGCCCGAGGAUGAGUCUGCAUCCUAUUAGCUAGUUGGCAGGGUAAUGGCCUACCAAGGCGAUGAUGGGUAGCGGGUGUGAGAGCACGACCCGCGUCAUUGGGACUGAGACACUGCCCAGACACCUACGGGUGGCUGCAGUCGAGAAUCUUCGGCAAUGGGCGCAAGCCUGACCGAGCGACGCCGCGUGUGGGAUGAAGGCCUUCGGGUUGUAAACCACUGUCAGAGGGGAUGAAAUGCAGGUGGGUUCUCCCAUCUGUUUGACAUAGCCUCAGAGGAAGGACGGGCUAAGUUCGUGCCAGCCGCCGCGGUAACAC